rnacentral:rRNA from 1 species
UGGGGAAUAUUGCGCAAUGGGGGAAACCCUGACGCAGCGACGCCGCGUGCGGGAUGAAGGCCUUCGGGUUGUAAACCGCUUUUGAUUGGGAGCAAGCCUUUUGGGUGAGUGUACCUUUCGAAUAAGCGCCGGCUAACUACGUGCCAGCAGCCGCGGUAAUACGUAGGGCGCAAGCGUUAUCCGGAAUUAUUGGGCGUAAAGGGUUCGCAGGCGGAAAUGCAAGUCAGGUGUAAAAGGCAGUAGCUUAACUACUGUAAGCAUUUGAAACUGCAUAUCUUGAGAAGAGUAGAGGUAAGUGGAAUUUUUAGUGUAGCGGUGAAAUGCGUAGAUAUUAAAAAGAAUACCGGUGGCGAAGGCGACUUACUGGGCUCAUUCUGACGCUGAGGAACGAAAGCGUGGGUAGCAAACAGG